rnacentral:lncRNA from 1 species
CUGCUGCGAUCGGAAUGUUUACACCCCCCCACCGCCAUAUUCAUCUGUUGAAAUCCUCACCCGCAAGAGACAAAGAACGCCCUUGUUUUUUCCACCACGUGAUGGCGCAGACAGAAGACAACCAGCAUCUAUGAACCAGGAAGCCCCCACCAGGCACUGAAUCUGCCCCUGCGUGGAUCUUAGACUUGCAGACUCCAGAACUAACCUUACAAUGUCUCUUCUCCAUUAAGAAAACCUACUUCAACAUCUCCAUUGGUUCUCAACAUAGAGGUCCAAAUUUUGGUCUGGAGCCAGAGACAAUAUAGGAUGAAGUUUGAUUUGUUCCAAAACCCACAGAAAUCUCUAAAAUGGAAGAAUUUUCUUAGAACCAAAAGGCAUGGAAUUGAUGACAUGAAACUGCCUGAGCUUCUCAGCUGACCUGUGAUGGAGUGUUGUGCCCAAGUGGAAAGUUCUUCUUUCUUUCAGAGACAUAUCAUUCACCAUAAAAUACAACCAGAGACUUCAAAAUUACUCCAGGCUAGAAGGACACUCCAAUUAGGGGAAAAGUAACCUAUGGGCAAACCAUCUUCCGUAAGAGUUCAAGGACAAAAAACUACUGAUGUUGUAAUAACAUUGAAACUUAAUGUUUUGGGCAAUCCUUAAGUGAUUUAUUUGGAGUGUCCCAGUCAUUUUAGACCUCUUCACCUUACAAUGUAUUGUGUGAGAUUAUAUUUCCAUGCACCUAAUUUUAAAAUAAAUUUAUUUAGGUAGAUGUAGAGACAUAUUACUGUGAUAAAGCAGUUCAUACCAAAUAAAAUUUAGCUAA